rnacentral:rRNA from 1 species
UAGCUACUGCAUCAUAGUAGAUAUGAUGCAMGAUCGACUAUGUUGAAUAAAAUUCUAGGUAGAAUUAUGAUAAUGACAUUGUCUGCCUAUGUGUCUUGUCCAAAUUMCGWUYSCAGUAGCSGUAAUACGUAGAAGACUAGUGUUAUUCAUGUUUAAUCGGUUUAAAGGGUACCUAGACGGUAGAUCAAGCUUUCUAAUAAAGGAAAAGGACUAAUUUACUAGAGUUACUUAUGAGGGGGUAUUAAAGUACUGCUGGUGUAGAGAUGAAAUUCUGUCAUACCUCUUUUCAAAAGAAAAACCAUGGCACAGGUAUAGGCGAAGGCAUCCCCUUAUGUGAUAACUGACGUUGAGGGACGAAGGCUUUGUGUAGCGAACAGGAUUAGAUACCCCAGUAGUCGAAGCAGAAAAUGAUGAAUGUCAUAGAUUAGAUAUAUAAGUUUAUUCUAUAAAUGAAAGUGUAAGCAUUCCACCUCAUGAGUAAUUUGGCAACAUUGGAACUGAAAUCAUUAGACCGUUUCUGAAACCAGUAGUGAAGUAUGUUGUUUAAUUUGAUGCCCCGCAAAAAACCUUACCACAAUUUGAAUAUUUAUAUUAUUUAUUGUUUUAUUAUUAAUUUUCUUAUAGUAAGAAUAUUAAUAAAGAGGCAAUAAGAUAUAUUUACAAGCGKUGCACGGCUGUCUUCAGUUAAUGUCGCGAGACUUUGGUUAGUUCCAUUAAAUUAACGUAAACCCUUACUUUAUUUUAUAUAGAGUAGUUACCCGCUAU